rnacentral:rRNA from 1 species
AUGGCGCCCACCGGCUUCUGCGACCUGCCGACGGAGGCCCUGGACGACAUCGCACGGCGCGCGCCGGGCCGCUCGACAACGUCGCCUGCUCGGCCGUCUGCCGGUCGUGGCGCCGGGCGCUCAAGACCACGCGCCUCCGCGUGCUCGAACGCCCGAAGCUGCUGCACCACAUCCAUGUGGACCCUCGCUGCGAGUGCCCGACGUGGCGGCCGACCAUGCUCCACUGCGACUCCCGUGGGAGGGAGCCAUGGACCAAGAAGAUCUGCCUCUGUGCCAGGGAGUCUGACCGCCCCGUCGGCGUCGCCCUGGACAGCAAGACCGACUCCGCGCACCCGGCGCGCAUCAUCGGCUCCUCCUACGGCUGGGUGGUCACCGUCGACAGGGCGUGCAGCCUGGCCCUGCUGGAGCCGCUCACCGGCCGGCGGUUCCCGCUGCCUCCCGUCACCUCGUCGCUCGACCGCAGCGAGCAGGUCAUCAAGAACGUCAACCAGAUGGGCCAGAGCACGUUCCACAAGGCGGCAUUGGCACCCGGCCGCCGGCUCGGCACCUACGUCGUCAUGCUGA